rnacentral:rRNA from 1 species
AGCGAACGCUGGCGGCAGGCCUAACACAUGCCAGUCGAACGAACUCUUCGGAGUUAGUGGCGGACGGGUGAGUAACACGUGGGAACGUGCCUUUUGGUUCGGAAUAACUCAGGGAAACUUGUGCUAAUACCGAAUGCGCCCUUCGGGGGAAAGAUUUAUCGCCAUUAGAGCGGCCCGCGUCUGAUUAGCUAGUUGGUGAGGUAACGGCUCACCAAGGCGACGAUCAGUAGCUGGUCUGAGAGGAUGACCAGCCACACUGGGACUGAGACACGGCCCAGACUCCUACGGGAGGCAGCAGUGGGGAAUCUUGCGCAAUGGGCGAAAGCCUGACGCAGCCAUGCCGCGUGAAUGAUGAAGGUCUUAGGAUUGUAAAAUUCUUUAACCGGGGACGAUAAUGACGGUACCCGGAGAAGAAGCCCCGGCUAACUUCGUG